rnacentral:rRNA from 1 species
ACAGCCCCGUACACAAAAAUGCACAUAUUGUGAGCUUGAUGAGUAGGGCGGGACACGUGGUAUCCUGUCUGAAUAUGGGGGGACCAUCCUCCAAGGCUAAAUACUCCUGACUGACCGAUAGUGAACCAGUACCGUGAGGGAAAGGCGAAAAGAACCCCGGCGAGGGGAGUGAAAAAGAACCUGAAACCGUGUACGUACAAGCAGUGGGAGCACGCUUAGGCGUGUGACUGCGUACCUUUUGUAUAAUGGGUCAGCGACUUAUAUUCUGUAGCAAGGUUAACCGAAUAGGGGAGCCGAAGGGAAACCGAGUCUUAACUGGGCGUUAAGUUGCAGGGUAUAGACCCGAAACCCGGUGAUCUAGCCAUGGGCAGGUUGAAGGUUGGGUAACACUAACUGGAGGACCGAACCGACUAAUGUUGAAAAAUUAGCGGAUGACUUGUGGCUGGGGGUGAAAGGCCAAUCAAACCGGGAGAUAGCUGGUUCUCCCCGAAAGCUAUUUAGGUAGCGCCUCGUGAAUUCAUCUCCGGGGGUAGAGCACUGUUUCGGCAAGGGGGUCAUCCCGACUUACCAACCCGAUGCAAACUGCGAAUACCGGAGAAUGUUAUCACGGGAGACACACGGCGGGUGCUAACGUCCGUCGUGAAGAGGGAAACAACCCAGACCGCCAGCUAAGGUCCCAAAGUCAUGGUUAAGUGGGAAACGAUGUGGGAAGGCCCAGACAGCCAGGAUGUUGGCUUAGAAGCAGCCAUCAUUUAAAGAAAGCGUAAUAGCUCACUGGUCGAGUCGGCCUGCGCGGAAGAUGUAACGGGGCUAAACCAUGCACCGAAGCUGCGGCAGCGACGCUUAUGCGUUGUUGGGUAGGGGAGCGUUCUGUAAGCCUGCGAAGGUGUGCUGUGAGGCAUGCUGGAGGUAUCAGAAGUGCGAAUGCUGACAUAAGUAACGAUAAAGCGGGUGAAAAGCCCGCUCGCCGGAAGACCAAGGGUUCCUGUCCAACGUUAAUCGGGGCAGGGUGAGUCGACCCCUAAGGCGAGGCCGAAAGGCGUAGUCGAUGGGAAACAGGUUAAUAUUCCUGUACUUGGUGUUACUGCGAAGGGGGGACGGAGAAGGCUAUGUUGGCCGGGCGACGGUUGUCCCGGUUUAAGCGUGUAGGCUGGUUUUCCAGGCAAAUCCGGAAAAUCAAGGCUGAGGCGUGAUGACGAGGCACUACGGUGCUGAAGCAACAAAUGCCCUGCUUCCAGGAAAAGCCUCUAAGCAUCAGGUAACAUCAAAUCGUACCCCAAACCGACACAGGUGGUCAGGUAGAGAAUACCAAGGCGCUUGAGAGAACUCGGGUGAAGGAACUAGGCAAAAUGGUGCCGUAACUUCGGGAGAAGGCACGCUGAUAUGUAGGUGAAGUCCCUUGCGGAUGGAGCUGAAAUCAGUCGAAGAUACCAGCUGGCUGCAACUGUUUAUUAAAAACACAGCACUGUGCAAACACGAAAGUGGACGUAUACGGUGUGACGCCUGCCCGGUGCCGGAAGGUUAAUUGAUGGGGUCAGCGCAAGCGAAGCUCUUGAUCGAAGCCCCGGUAAACGGCGGCCGUAACUAUAACGGUCCUAAGGUAGCGAAAUUCCUUGUCGGGUAAGUUCCGACCUGCACGAAUGGCGUAAUGAUGGCCAGGCUGUCUCCACCCGAGACUCAGUGAAAUUGAACUCGCUGUGAAGAUGCAGUGUACCCGCGGCAAGACGGAAAGACCCCGUGAACCUUUACUAUAGCUUGACACUGAACAUUGAGCCUUGAUGUGUAGGAUAGGUGGGAGGCUUUGAAGUGUGGACGCCAGUCUGCAUGGAGCCGGCCUUGAAAUACCACCCUUUAAUGUUUGAUGUUCUAACGUGGACCCGUGAUCCGGGUUGCGGACAGUGUCUGGUGGGUAGUUUGACUGGGGCGGUCUCCUCCUAAAGAGUAACGGAGGAGCACGAAGGUUGGCUAAUCCUGGUCGGACAUCAGGAGGUUAGUGCAAUGGCAUAAGCCAGCUUGACUGCGAGCGUGACGGCGCGAGCAGGUGCGAAAGCAGGUCAUAGUGAUCCGGUGGUUCUGAAUGGAAGGGCCAUCGCUCAACGGAUAAAAGGUACUCCGGGGAUAACAGGCUGAUACCGCCCAAGAGUUCAUAUCGACGGCGGUGUUUGGCACCUCGAUGUCGGCUCAUCACAUCCUGGGGCUGAAGUAGGUCCCAAGGGUAUGGCUGUUCGCCAUUUAAAGUGGUACGCGAGCUGGGUUUAGAACGUCGUGAGACAGUUCGGUCCCUAUCUGCCGUGGGCGCUGGAGAACUGAGGGGGGCUGCUCCUAGUACGAGAGGACCGGAGUGGACGCAUCACUGGUGUUCGGGUUGUCAUGCCAAUGGCACUGCCCGGUAGCUAAAUGCGGAAGAGAUAAGUGCUGAAAGCAUCUAAGCACGAAACUUGCCCCGAGAUGAGUUCUCCCUGACCCUUUAAGGGUCCUGAAGGAACGUUGAAGACGACGACGUUGAUAGGCCGGGUGUGUAAGCGCAGCGAUGCGUUGAGCUAACCGGUACUAAUGAACCGUGAGG